CGGGGCGCGGCCGCCAUGACGGGGGGGGGCUGAGGCGGCUCGAGAAGAUGGCGAGCGCCGCGGGCGGGGGGCUUGUGGCAGGGUUUUCGUCCUCCUUUUCUCCUCGUUGAGCCAAUGGAGCAGUUCGGCAGGAAGACAGAAAGCUGAGAGAAAUCAACCACAACAAUGCUGUAAUAACCUGAGCGUGGCAGUUAAAGCACACCUACAGGGACAAGAGUUCACAUCCUGCCAGGUGGAAAGGAGUGUUGAACCCUCAGAUCUUUAAGAUCCAGAGAAAGUGAUCUAACCACUGCUUUUCAGACAAAAGAGUGGUGGGGUAGCUUCACAACUCAUCUGUAUUUGUGCAGAACCUGACUUGGUGGGUGUCCUUUGAGGAGUGAUACUGGAACACAUGUUGAGUUUGUAAACCCUGGUGAGGUUUAGGAAUGAAGUAAGUGUUGACUUCCUCAACAUAGUCAGGACUGGAAGCUUUUCUGAGCAUAUCCACAUGCAAAAACUUGAGCUGCCCAGACCUUUUGAUAGCUGCUAAGUGACCUUUUAAGGAUGGCAGGUUUUAUUUUAGUAAAGUGCAAAUUAAACAAGGUUGACACACCUGAGUCCAUUAUUUGGUGCAUUUUGGCCCUGGUAUUUGGACGUUACAACAAGGUAACAGCACAAACAGAGCAUAUUAACAGAACUUGUCAAAAAAACUAGCAACAGCACUCAAGUACAAGGACAAAAAGGGCACAUGUAAUCAGAAGCUCCAGUAAGAG